rnacentral:tRNA from 1 species
GGUAUCGUGUCCGAGUGGUUAAGGAGAUAGACUUGAAAUCUAUUGGGCUAUGCCCUCGCAGGUUCAAAUCCUGCCGAUACCG